UCUGUGUGUCGUUCACUGGUGUCCGUCUAAUACCGCAUGGAAGGUGUUGAACAACACAUAAUAGACAACCCUCUCCAUAGACCUCCAGACCUUACAAAGGUCCUCAUGAGUGCCCAUUUUAAAGGUCUCCUUGAGAGGAUAUGAGCAGUUGUUGUUGACCUCAAUGUUGGUGUGAUGUGUGAGAGCUUGAUCAACGCUUAAGGUGAUUGUUAAAUCGAAGUCUCCGUUGUCCAUUUUUCUGGGGCAGAUGAACUCCGAGCUGAGCGGAGUUUGAGGCUCACUGACGGCACAUCUCCCCUUCUCCAGAUAAUAAACACAUGGUGCUUGUACCUCGUGCAUAAAGCGGUGAAACGUAUGGUGUUCAGAGCGCAGUGUCUGUAUCUCAUUCAAGGUUUUAGUCAAUCCCGGAAAACCUAGACAGGUAAUAGUUGUCUUGUAUCUGGCAAAGCCUGAAAGUCUCACGGUGUAGUUCAGUUUGAAAAUGGGUGGCGGUAUACCCUGUUCGAUCAUAUGGUCUAGAAGCUCCCGAGUAUCUCUUUCCAGCUUCGAUCGAGUGGAACACAAAGCUAUCGGUACAGUUUGUUUCCCUGUGUCAAGGCCAUGGCGCUGCUGGUCCAUCAGGACUUUGGCCAUCAUAGAAUAUGCAGUAGAACCUAACUAUCUGCUACGAUCUGGAAUGAGAUUGUGCUGUCAGCAAAAAAAUGGAGACGGUAAUAGGUCAGAACAGUUCCUUGUGCAGUUGAAAGACAAGAGGUUGGACAAUUGUAGAGAUAUACAGCAAAUGGGACUGUGACUAGUGGCUCAACAGAGGCUCAUGAACUACACCACCUUUCACAUUUACGAACGUCUGCUGUAUAUAGCCAGACUCUCGCGACACCCAUAAGAGUGCUUCUCUCUACACAUAUCCAAAUGUGCAACUUUUUCGAAACAAUCACUAAUCUGUUCCAAAAGACCACCAGGAUUGGUAUGGCCAUAGACACACAUUUCCCCUACCAGUACAAUGUACUGCCCUUUGAAUGUUUGGAUAAGUCCUUCGUAGCCAAUAGCAUGAAAACAGGGGUAUAUAAACAUCAAGGUGUCCACUCCAGUGUAUUUGUCAACUGCGUCGACACAGGACAGUUUUUCCACCAUGCCGUGAGGAGGCUCGAUGUCCGUGAUAUGAACUGUCUUUGCACUAAGUACCUUGUAAGCAAUGUAGCAUUCGGUUAACAUGAACCUGCUGCCCACUGCUAGGAUGUCAUUCAUCCCGGACACAGUUAGAUGUGACAUGUUUUCUAUCAAAUCGGUAAAACAACUGUUUCCGUAUUGGAAACGUAGAGGUGUUUCUUUCAAAAUACUGUCCAUGAACACAGCUGCACCUUCCCAAAAGUCAUCACAUUCAUCAUCAACACCAGCCUUGUUCAAGUAAAGCUUCUUGAUCAUCUCUGAAGAGACUGGUUGAUGACUCACAUGCCCACACCAUGCAUCACAUGAGAAGGGAGAGGCCGAUAUCACUUAUGAGGUGUGUUAAAUCUAGACGUUCCGCUAGCGGAACACCGCUCCAAUAUCCAAUGAUAGGGCGUGACGCGAAAUACAAACUCCUCGAAAAUCCGAAAACUUCAAUUUUUCAAACAUAUGACUAUUUUACACCAUUGUAAAGACAAGACUCUCCUUUAUCUAACCACACUGUCCGAUUUCAAAAAGGCUUUACAACGAAAGCAAAACAUUAGAUUAUGUCAGGAGAGUACCCAGCCAGAAAUAAUCAGAC
rnacentral:lncRNA from 1 species